UACGGAGGGUGCGAGCGUUGUCCGGAAUCACUGGGCGUAAAGGGCGCGUAGGCGGCUCAUGAAGGCUGUGGUGAAAGUCCGGGGCUCAACCUCGGAUCGGCCGUGGCGACUCGUGGGCUGGAGCACUGUAGAGGCGGGUGGAAUUCCGGGUGUAGCGGUGGAAUGCGUAGAGAUCCGGAAGAACACCAGUGGCGAAGGCGGCUCACUGGCCCGGUACUGACGCUGAGGUGCGAAAGCGUGGGGAGCAAACAGG
rnacentral:rRNA from 1 species